rnacentral:rRNA from 1 species
CAUGGAGGGUGAGAAUCCCGUUCAUGGUUAAUCUUAAGGAUGCUCUACGAUACGUUCUCCAAGAGUCGAGUUGUUUGGGAUUGCAGCUCAAAAUGGGAGGUAAAUUUCUCCUAAGGCUAAAUAUUGGCGAGAGACCGAUAGCGAACAAGUACCGUGAGGGAAAGAUGAAAAGAACUUUGAAAAGAGAGUUAAACAGUACGUGAAAUUGUUGAAAGGGAAACGAUUGAAGUCAGUCAUACUAACGGGAAAUCAACCUCUUGAGUUUGGUCUCGUGGGUUUCGAAGAGUUUUAAAAGCCUUCGGAUUUUCGAGAUUGGGCUCUUCUGGUGUACUUUCUCGUACGGUUAGUCAACAUCGGUUUUGAAUGUCAUAAAAUGACUGAAGGAAUGUGGCUUCGAUCUCGUAUUGAAGUGUUAUAACCUUUGGUAGAUGUGAUGUUUGAGACCGAGGAUUGCAACGGAUACCCUUCUGGGCUAUUCGUCUGAUCUCUGAAACGUUGCCUUGAUGUCGAAAGCUUGCUUAUGAUGUUAGGGUAUUACGGUCAAAAGGUUAGAACGGAUUAAAUUCGUUAAGGAUGUUGACGUAAUGG